UCCAUGGUCGUCUUAACAAUUUAUUGUUUAUGUUUGAAACCAGGAGUUAUAGCCACUUGUCACCUUCGUCAAUCUCGACGUGAUAAAGUUGAACCUCCCGUAUCAUGGCAGUGAUACGUUGCUUCUCAGCGCCAUAAAUUUGGGCGAUCCCUCGUUCAACUUAUCGUGAAGAUUAUACAGCGUGGCCCCGACAACCAUCUUUUAGCUUUUAAAAAAUUUCGAUUACAUUUUCGUCUGUUUCGAUUUCGCCUUAAUAGCUACAAAUCCCCAAUUCUAUGAACUCCCAAAAGAACCCUAAAACCCCAAAUCCGAUCUCACUGACUCCGAUUGAAGGUAACGGAAAAGAUUGAGAAUGUUUGAGGAGGGCGGAGAAGCAGUAGAGACGAAGAAGAGGAGGAGUGCCCGGAUAUUGGAAUUGGAGGGAGAGAAGGAGAAGAAGAAGAAGCACAACGACGGAAAGGACCAACAGGAGGACAACUAAAAUCCAAAUCCAAAUCCAUGGUUGAGGCUUCUCAGGAUUCUCAGCAAGAGGACCAUGUUAUGUACCUGAAGUAAAGCGAUGAAGUAAAGGAGAAAGAAAUAAACAUAGCGUUUUGGGUCUUUAGUAAAACUAUGCGUUUUGUUUGGGCUGUUCAUUUUGUGGGACCUUUGCCCGACAUUUGGGUACUGUUAUUUUUACAGUCAUUUUAUCAAUUCUUACUUCUCUUAUGGUUUAUGAUGUACGAGCUGGUGGGGGUAUAUAGGAGAGCAGAGAGGAAAGUAGAGGAAUAUCUUGAAUCUGGAAAAUUGUCAAUAGUUUGAUUUGUAAGGAGGUUGGGUUCCCUCGAAGAAUCCCUUAUCAAUAUAUGCGUGACUCUCUUUAUCAUUUUUACAAA